rnacentral:lncRNA from 1 species
GGCGCCGUUUACAGCGCCGUCGCAGGCCGAGUGACGAAGGGCGCGCCGAGUGACGACAUUCUAAAUUUAAUUCUAAAUUACUUUAAAUUUGAAUUAAUUUAAAUUUAAUUCUAAAUUAUAUACCGGAAACGUGGGAGAUUACAAGGGGUCAAAAAUAAAUAAAUGGAUGUAUCCUGCCAUAUUGGAAGCAAAAAAACUUGUCUUGAUGAAUUGGAAGAGCUGCAAAAAGAUCCCAUUGAGCACAUGGAUUGACAAUGUGGCCAGACUAGUUACCUACGAACGAAUUGCAUAUCGACACAAAUUAAGAAUGGAUAAACAUGAAGAAAUCUGGAAGGAAUACUUAAGUGAUAAGGCGGACAGUGGUGGAAG